AGGAAAGCUCCUGCUUCCCUUUCACCUUCCACCAUGAUUGUAAGUUUCCCGAGGCCUCCCCAGCCAUGCAGAACUGUGAAUGCAGGAAAAUUGGGAAGAAAACAUCCUGAGCUGCAACAUGGUUACUUGGUGGAGGCUGAGACCUACGAACAAUGAAGGCGGGGAGAGGAUGAGGAACUCAGGAGAAUCAAGCACAAAAUGACAGGGAAGAUAAAAGACUGGAGGAUAUACGCUCACAUUUUUGAAAUAUUAUAUGUGUGUGUGUAUAUAAAGAAACUAAUUUUUUAUUAUUUACAAUCUAAUCAGAAAAAAAAAGAGAGGAUCUUUGAUCAUUUUAGUCUCAUCAUCAGGGAGAAGUUUUCCCUGUAAAGCAAAUUUGAUGGGUCCCUCCUGUGUGUGUGGAGUAGCCCUAGGACUUCUCAGCUCUGGGCACUUGUGGUGAGGCAAGGUUUUGUUUUACACUCACCUUUCUUAUUCCUUUUCUGUCCUGAAAAUCCACUCCACCUGCCUUUCCAGAGUAAAAGAACAGGGACAAUGUGAGCAUAAUAAUAUCUCUAAGUCAGAUAAUGAGGGACCAUCAUCAAUCUUAGCAAAAAAAGGAUAGUUCAUUGUGUAGAGAUACAUUCUGAAGUAUGUGAAGCCACCUUAGAAGAUACUCAGGACCCAGGGAUCACAUGCAGACUCUGGAAUUUGAAGCCAGAAAACUGGGAACAAAACACAUUUGCGACACAGGGAGGAAAAGAGAGAAAGAGAAAACUGGAACAACCUCUAUUUCCUGCAAUAUAGCUAAUCAGAUACCCAGAGCAACCCUCCUACUGAAAACAGCUAAUAUGGUUAAUAAAACGUUAAAAACUCACCUUUCUA
rnacentral:lncRNA from 1 species